CAGCAGCCGCGGGAAUACGAAGGGUGCAAGCGUUACUCGGAAUUACUGGGCGUAAAGCGUGUGUAGGUGGUUGUUUAAGUCUGUCGUGAAAGCCCUGGGCUCAACCUGGGAAUUGCGAUGGAUACUGGGCGACUAGAGUGUGGUAGAGGAUAGUGGAAUUUCCGGUGUAGCAGUGAAAUGCGUAGAGAUCGGAAGGAACAUCUGUGGCGAAGGCGACUAUCUGGGCCAACACUGACACUGAGACACGAAAGCGUGGGGAGCAAACAGGAUUAGAUACCCCAGUAGUCCCUGUCUCUUAUAC
rnacentral:rRNA from 1 species